rnacentral:rRNA from 1 species
AAAGGGUGCGUAGGCGGGCAGGUAAGUCAGGGGUGAAAGACGGUAGCUCAACUAUCGCAGUGCCCUUGAUACUGACGGGCUUGAAUGGACUAGAGGUAGGCGGAAUGUGACAAGUAGCGGUGAAAUGCAUAGAUAUGUCACAGAACACCGAUUGCGAAGGCAGCUUACUAUGGUUUUAUUGACGCUGAGGCACGAAAGCGUGGGGAUCAAACAGGAUUAGAUACCCCGGU